rnacentral:tRNA from 1 species
GUGGACCUUAGUGGUAGAGUGCUCACCUAUCAUGUGUGAAGCCUGGGUUCAAUUCCCAGUAAACACA